ACAACAGAUGAGACGGACUCACGAUCUUCUAAAACUGCAUGUUUAUUAGCGUUGCCUAGCGUCUGCGUCUGACAACUCUCCUCCGUCUGUGGACAUGGGAGGACCUGCGAGUCCUCCUACGUCUACCAACGGGGCGAGCAGCGUGUCUGCGUCAGAGAUCAGAAAU